GCUAAUAUUCUGUCCAAAUGCCAAAGUCCAUAAUCUAUCAGAUAGGUUCUAAUUGUCAAGAAAAAACAGAAAUCAAAAUGGCAUUUGAUAAAUUUGAAUGACAAUAAGUGCCAUAUAUGCCCAUAUAAUGUAUGCAUCGGAUGUGAUAUAAUUGCAAAAUUCAGUCCCCAUGAGGGAGAUAAAGGCAGUAAACUCGUUGUUACUAAAAGCAUACUGAACAAAGGACUGAUUUUUAGCAUAUUGCUGCCAGUUCCUAACUAAUAUAUCCUAUAAUGAAUUAGAAUAGUCAUUGAAAAAUCUAUAGUCAGAAAAGCAUUAUAAAAAUUUGAAAGUAAUCAAAUGAUUUUUUUUCAUACUAACAUUAAGUAGAAGAUCUAUUAUUAAAAGAUAAGCUCAUAAUUACAGAGCUUGACUUAAUGGCUUGCCAUACCAAGCAAGUAGAAAUAGUUAAAGCCCCACAUGACUUGAUAUUAUUACACCAGCUAAAUAAAUUAAUAAACAGAACGAAUCAUUCAAUCAAAAAAUUAUGCCAGGGUAGACAUUGAUCUCUAGUGAGACACUGCACCAAACAAUCAACC
rnacentral:lncRNA from 1 species